rnacentral:misc_RNA from 1 species
UAAAGGCUUAGUUGGGUUGAGUUGUAUUUUUCAUAUUUUACAUAUAAAAGUCAUUUUUCCGCGAAACAAACGGAACCUUAAUAUGUUAUCUUUUAUUUUUUGGGCUUGUAUAAUUUGAUGAACUUUGGCUUAAACUGAUGGUUGCUGCCUCAUGGGACUGCACCUGCUAGUGCUAGUUCCAUGGCUUUGCAAACUGGUUAGCCAGUCAAAUAUAUGUUCUCAAUUAGAUCAUAUAAAAUGCCCUCUGGAUCUUGAAUCUUUAAUAUGACUAUGGUUUUUAUAUCUGUGUGUUGGGGCCAUAUUGCUGUGAUCUUUAAAAUUAAUAUGUUAAGAUCUAUCUUCUCAAUUAGGGUUCAUUGUUGAAUUUUUUGUGCAUCAGGUUAAUGAUAUUUCCUUGAGAGAUUACAU